GCCUUGGUGGAUCAAUUGGCAGAUCAUGCCUACUCAAUUAGGUGGUUUAUACGUGGUAGGAAGACGGAGGUUUGAAUCCUCCCUAAGGCA